GUAGGUGGCAAGCGUUGUCCGGAAUUAUUGGGCGUAAAGCGCGCGCAGGCGGUCCUUUAAGUCCGAUGUGAAAGCCCACGGCUCAACCGUGGAGGGUCAUUGGAAACUGGGGGACUUGAGUACAGAAGAGGAAAGCGGAAUUCCAAGUGUAGCGGUGAAAUGCGUAGAGAUUUGGAGGAACACCAGUGGCGAAGGCGGCUUUCUGGUCUGUAACUGACGCUGAGGCGCGAAAGCGUGGGGAGCAAACAGGAUUAGAUACCCUGGUAGUCCACGCCGUAAACGAUGAGUGCUAAGUGUUAGGGGGUUUCCGCCCCUUAGUGCUGCAGCUAACGCAUUAAGCACUCCGCCUGGGGAGUACGGCCGCAAGGCUG
rnacentral:rRNA from 1 species